GAUGAACGCUGGCGGCGUGCCUAAUACAUGCAAGUCGAGCGAACAGACGAUGCUCUUACUCCUCUGACGUUACCAGCGGGCGGGUGAGUCACACGUGGAUAACCUACCUCUAAGACUGAGAUAACUUCGAGAAACCGGAGCUAAUACCGGAUACUAUAUUUAGCCGCAUGGUUGGAUAGUGAAAGACGGUUUUGAUGUGACUUAUAGAUAUAUCCGCGCCGCAUUAGCUAGUUGGUACGGUAACGGCUUACCAAGGCAACGAUGCGUAGCCGACCUGAGAGGGUGAUCGGCGACACUGGAACUGAGCGACGGUCCAGACGCCUACGGGAGGCAGAAGUAGGGAAGCUUCCGCAAUGUGCGAAAGCCUGACGGAGCAACGCAGCGUGAGUGAUGAAGGUCUUCGGAGCGGAAAACUCUGUUAGUAUUGAAGAACAAAUGUGUAAGUAACGAUGCACGUCUUGACGGUACCUAAUCAGAAAGCCACGGCUAACUACGUG
rnacentral:rRNA from 1 species